rnacentral:snRNA from 1 species
AUGCUCGCUUCAGCAGCACAUAUACUAAAAUUGAAAUGAUACAGAGAAGAUUAGCAUGGCCUCUAUGCAAGGAUGACAUGCAAAUUCAUGAAGCAUUCUGUAUUUUU